AGGCGCGCACUGAGCGAGGCGCGGAGCCCCCCCCGCCGCAGCGAGGGAGCGAGCGCAGCCCCCUGCCCGCCCGCCCCUCCUCGGCGCGCGCAGCCCCACACAGGCGCGCGCCGUCUCCUUCUGUCCGCCUCUCGCCCGCCCGCCCGCUCGCUCCCCCCUCUCCGCCCGCUGCUGCGCCGGGCGCGUGCGCGGGCCGCGCGCUCCCGCUCGGGGUCGUCCCCCCCCCCAACGUCAGGCUCUAGAGCCCCGCCGGUCGCCGGCGCCUCAGGGGCAGCGCGGGCUGCUCCCCCCGCAGCAGCGCGUACACCUCGACGGCGGCGCCCCGGCUCCGGGCUGCAGCUGUUGUUGCCAUGAUGAUGAUGUCACGGGCGCAACCACUCGGGGAGCGGCGGGGGGAGGACGCGGGGCUCACGCGCACGCAUCCCGCCCCGGGAACGAGGGGAGGGGGGUGAGGAAAAUGUCCGCCCGCCGCUCUGCCCCGGCCGCUCCCUCCGGAAGGGGGCUCGGCGGCUCGGCGCUCGGCCGGGCGGGCUUGGGGCGAGGCUUGCGGAAGCCCGAGCCGCCGGUGGGGCGGACCGGGGAGCGCCGAUGCGCCGCCAUUGGGUUAAGGCGGGCCGGCCGCCAUUUUGGAUGCCGAGUCGCCUCGCUGCGGGAAGUCACACAAAGGACGUGCGGUCACACCAGGACAAGAAGGUGUUUUCAGAAAAGGUUUGAGCCAGCACUGUCAGGAGAGGUCCCCUGCCCUCCUCCUCCUGGCAGUGGAGUGACUGCAUAAUAAACUCCAUCCGCAUGCUGAUCCAG
rnacentral:lncRNA from 7 species